rnacentral:rRNA from 1 species
UGGGGAAUUUUGGACAAUGGGCGAAAGCCUGAUCCAGCAAUGCCGCGUGUGUGAAGAAGGCCUUCGGGUUGUAAAGCACUUUUGUCCGGAAAGAAAUCCUUGGCUCUAAUACAGUCGGGGGAUGACGGUACCGGAAGAAUAAGCACCGGCUAACUACGUGCCAGCAGCCGCGGUAAUACGUGAGGGUGCAAGCGUUAAUCGGAAUUACUGGGCGUAAAGCGUGCGCAGGCGGUUUGCUAAGACCGAUGUGAAAUCCCCGGGCUCAACCUGGGAACUGCAUUGGUGACUGGCAGGCUAGAGUAUGGCAGAGGGGGGUAGAAUUCCACGUGUAGCAGUGAAAUGCGUAGAGAUGUGGAGGAAUACCGAUGGCGAAGGCAGCCCCCUGGGCCAAUACUGACGCUCAUGCACGAAAGCGUGGGGAGCAAACAGGAUUAGAUACCCUGGUAGUCCACGCCCUAAACGAUGUCAACUAGUUGUUGGGGAUUCAUUUCCUUAGUAACGUAGCUAACGCGUGAAGUUGACCGCCUGGGGAGUACGGUCGCAAGAUUAAAACUCAAAGAAUUGACGGGGUCAUAGCUGUUUCCU